rnacentral:rRNA from 1 species
UAAUACAGAGGGUGCGAGCGUUAAUCGGAAUUACUGGGCGUAAAGGGCGCGUAGGCGGUUAUGCGAGUGUGAUGUGAAAGCCCUGGGCUUAACCUAGGAAGAGCAUCGCAAACGGCAUGACUGGAGUAUUGGAGAGGGUAGCGGAAUUUCCGGUGUAGCGGUGAAAUGCGUAGAGAUCGGAAGGAACGUCGAUGGCGAAGGCAGCUACCUGGCCAAAUACUGACGCUGAGGCGCGAAAGCGUGGGGAGCAAACAGGAUUAGAUACCCUGGUAGUCCACGCUGUAAACGAUGAGAACUAGAUGUUGGAUGGGGAACCAUUUGGUAUCGAAGCAAACGCGAUAAGUUCUCCGCCUGGGAAGUACGGCCGCAAGGUUG